AAACAAUCCACUCCUUUAUUAUUAAAUUAUCGUACAAAUUAAUCGUUCAUGCAUAAAGUUUGAUUCAUUAUGGAUAUAACUUAGGACGUAAACAUAUGAGUUUCACUUAUGUGCAUCACACCAUAUUAUGAAUAUUGAAUUCAUGAUAUAUCAAAUUUAAAUAUAAUAUGAAAUUUCAUCGCCGUUCAAUUCAAAAAAUUAAAAAUUAAAAAGGUAGACGUUUACUGUAAGUGCAUGGCAGCUUGUGACCAUGGAAAGACAUAUGUAUCUUUGAGUGAGUGAGUGUGUGUGCGUGUUUUUGAGA
rnacentral:misc_RNA from 1 species